rnacentral:rRNA from 1 species
UAUUGGGUUUAAGGGUGCGUAGCGGCUUUAUAAGUCCGGGGUGAAAGCCCGUUGCUCAACAACGGAACUGCCCUGGAUACUGUAAGCUUGAGUACAGACGAGGUUGGCGGAAUGGACCGAGUACGGUGAAAUGCAUAGAUACGGUCCAGAACCCCGAUUGCGAAGGCAGCUGACUAGCUGUUACUGACGCUGAGGCACGACAGCGUGGGGAGCGAACAGGAUUAGAUACCCUGGUAGUCCACGCCGUAAACGAUGGAUACUCGCUGCGGGCUAAAGAUUGUCCGUGGCUUAGGAAACCGAUAAGUAUCCCACCUGGGGAGUACGCCGGCAACGGUGAAACUCAAAGGAAUUGACGGGGGCCCGCACAAGUGGUGGAGCAUGUGGUUUAAUUCGAUGAUACGCGAGGAACCUUACCUAGCUAAAUGCGCGUGACCGGCUCAGAGAUGAGUUUUUCCUUCGGGACACAAAGCAAGGUGCUGCAUGGCCGUCGUCAGCUCGUGCCGUGAGGUGUUGGGUUAAGUCCCGCAACGAGCGCAACCCCUAUGGUUAGUUGCCAGCACGUAAUGGUGGGGACUCUAGCCAGACUGCCUGCGCAAGCAGUGAGGAAGGCGGGGACGACGUCAGGUCAUCAUGGCCCUUACGCCUAGGGCGACACACGUGCUACAAUGGACGGUACAGCGGGUACUACUGGGCGACCAGAUGCCAAUCUCGAAAAGCCGUUUCUCAGUUCGGAAUCGGAGUCUGCAACUCGGACUCCCGUGAAGCUGGAAUCACUAGUAAUCCGCGGCAUCAGCCAUGGCGCGGUGAAUAC